rnacentral:rRNA from 1 species
UGGCGGACGGGUGAGUAACGCGUGGGUAACCUGCCUCAUACAGGGGGAUAACAGUUAGAAAUGACUGCUAAUACCGCAUAAGCGCACGGUUUCGCAUGGAACAGUGUGAAAAACUCCGGUGGUAUGGGAUGGACCCGCGUCUGAUUAGCUGGUUGGCGGGGUAACGGCCCACCAAGGCGACGAUCAGUAGCCGGCCUGAGAGGGUGAACGGCCACAUUGGGACUGAGACACGGCCCAAACUCCUACGGGAGGCAGCAG